AGGCGUUACCGGCGUCCUACCAUGCAAGUCGACGCGAAAGCCCCUUCGGGGGUAAGUAGAGUGGCGUCCGGGUGAGUAACACGUGGGUAAUCUGCCUUCGGGUGGGGAAUAACCCAGGGAAACUUGGGCUAAUACCGCAUAAUGCAGCGGCACCUAAUGGUGAUUAGUUGUUAAAGCGGGGGAUCGCAAGACCUCGCGCCUGAAGAGGAGCCUGCGGCAGAUUAGCUAGUUGGUGAGGUAAUGGCUCACCAAGGCUGCGAUCUGUAGCUGGUCUGAGAGGACGGCCAGCCACACUGGCACUGACACACGGGCCAGACUCCUACGGGAGGCAGCAGUGGGGAAUUUUGGGCAAUGGGCGAAAGCCUGACCCAGCAACGCCGCGUGAGGGAGGAAAUCCUUCGGGAUGUAAACCUCACAAGCAAGGGAAGAGAGCUGCGGGCUGAAUAAGUUCGCGGUGCGACGGUACCUUGCGUAAGCCACGGCUAACUACGUGCCAGCAGCCGCGGUAAUACGUAGGUGGCAAGCGUUGUUCGGAAUUAUUGGGCGUAAAGGGCGCGUAGGCGGUUUGUUAAGUCGGCUGUGAAAGCCCGGGGCUCAACCCCGGAGGGUCAGCCGAUACUGGCAGACUAGAGUACGGAAGAGGUAGCUGGAAUUCCCGGUGUAGCGGUGAAAUGCGUAGAUAUCGGGAGGAACACCUGAGGCGAAGGCGGGCUACUGGGCCGAUACUGACGCUGAUGCGCGAAAGCCAGGGGAGCGAACGGGAUUAGAUACCCCGGUAGUCCUGGCCCUAAACGAUGGACACUUGGUGUGUCGGGUAUUCCAGUCCCGAUGUGCCGGAGCUAACGCGUUAAGUGUCCCGCCUGGGGAGUACGGUCGCAAGGCUGAACUCAAAGGAAUUGACGGGACCCGCACAAGCGGUGGAGCAUGUGGUUUAAUUCGACGCAACGCGGAAGAACCUUACCUGGGUUAAAUCCCAGUUGCAAAGUGCAGAGAUGCAUUCCUCUCGCAGAG
rnacentral:rRNA from 1 species